UGCACGUCACAGCUGAGGAUGCAGCUGCCAAGCUCUCCCUGCUCUGACCCUUCAAAGGAGGGCAUUGGGAAAUUCAAACCAAACACAAAUCGUGGCCACCCAGGGAGACUGCCUGGGUUAUUGCUCUGUUAUCUAGAACCACAAGGGACCAAGAUUGGGGUACCAAACCCCACACUGGUGAUUCUGAGCAGGGAGCUUGGCAGGCUGCCAGCUGAGGUGGAUGAGGAGCAAGCAGGUUGCAAAGGAAGUCCCCCCAGGAUGGGCAAAUCUGGGCCCACCCAUCUUCUGCCUGCCACCCCUCAGUGGAAGCCUGGCAGAGAGUGGAUGGCUGUCAGAAGAUGCUGAUGGCCCUGUGGCAAGCCCCAGCAUGUUCCCGUUAAAGAUCAAAGGAACCAUCACAGAACUGGAGAGAGAAGACCAUCUUUUGCUCAGGCCCUAGCUCAUCCUGUGACCUUGGACAAGUAACCUCACAGAGCCUCCAUGAUUCAUCCAUUAAGUAGGCCUUACGAGUUUCACCCUCAUCAAAUGGACUCCCUAAAUCUUGCCUUGUUCUCAAAAAGGCUGAAUGCAGAGGUAGCCAUGCCAAGACCACACUGACUGAGUUCCAGCAACCUCACUGCUAACUCUGCUUUACUGGUUGGGAACAAAUCAGUUGUCAAAAUUGCUUGAUAGGAAAUGAAGUGACAUUGGCCUAGUUCCUUUUGGCUACUCUGGCUUUCUCCAACCGAGAGGGACAGCAGUCGGCCUCCCUGUCAGAAACUCUGGCCUGAGAUAAAGAAAAAAACCACCAACACAGCAAGAUGCAAAAGAAGCCAGAGGCCCACCUGC
rnacentral:lncRNA from 1 species